CCGACAUAAUUCCCUUUGAUGAUCGAGUCAGUCGGCAAUUUGGAGUUUCAUUCUAUUAUUAGGUAGCCGGAGAAGGAUUCGGACCUUUAAGUGUACCUGUCGCGUUGCAACCGCUCAUCACUUUACGGUUUGGAUGAGUGAGCGAAAAAAGUCUUAGCGACCUUACCGUCCGGCAGGCUUCGAACGAUCUCUCGGUCCAUUUCUAUGAGAAUGAAGACGAAUCGACACAAACAAUUUGGAUUCAGUGUGUGUGACGGUCCAAAAAGGGACAGUGGUCAUCUUUAUCCUCAUCAGUCAAGGAGAGGGCACAAGCAAAGUUCAUCUGCAACAUUUGCUGAAUUCACUAGUCACAGAUGGGAGGCAAAUCCAGCUUCCCUUUCAAGCAUUGAUGGAGCCUAUUCAAGGAAAAUUGCAACCUGCAAUGGGGUCUUCAUCAAUAAAUGGUUGAAGUAAAUGCAGCAGCAGCAGCAGCAGGGAGCAAAACGCUUGCAGAGAGCAGAAGUGCUUGCAGCAGCACAUGAAGCUAUUGCACCAGAUGACACAGAAGCCAGCAAGAAGAAGUCACUGAAAGAGCGCGCAGUUGCCACUGCAGCUGCUUUAGUCGCAGCUCAAUGAGCCCAAUUUGCAGAAGCUGUGGGGUGCAAAGUGUCAGCAUGUCUUCAGCUAUUUAAGAAGCUUGCCACAGAGCAAGUAACAUCAUCAAUUAGCUACUACCGCAGCAACAACAAUGGAAGGUGUAGUCACACGCAAGAGGAAGACAAGAUCACCAGAAAACAAAGGGGAGUUCACCUACACUUCCUUCUGAUGAGUUCAACUUGACAAU